AACUUUCAACAACGGAUCUCUUGGCUCUCGCAUCGAUGAAGAACGCAGCGAAAUGCGAUAAGUAAUGUGAAUUGCAGAAUUCAGUGAAUCAUCGAAUCUUUGAACGCACCUUGCGCCCCUUGGUAUUCCGAGGGGCACGCCUGUUCGAGUGUCGUGAA
rnacentral:rRNA from 1 species